CUGAAGACCAUAGAGUUUUGAGACUGCGUUCAAAUGAUCGCGUGCUCGACUCUUACUCUUUAUCCACACACACCUCUGUGCACCAUGGGACGAAACUGUAACCGGGAGUAGUCCCCUUUUAUAUAAACACGAGUUAUUAUAUGCAUGUUAUUUUAAUGCUCUACGGAGUAAUAAUAAUGUA
rnacentral:misc_RNA from 1 species